rnacentral:rRNA from 1 species
CCUACGGGUGGCAGCAGUGAGGAAUAUUGGUCAAUGGCCGAGAGGCUGAACCAGCCAAGUCGCGUGAGGGAAGAAUGUCCUAUGGAUUGUAAACCUCUUUUGUCGGGGAGCAAAAACGCUCUGCGGAGUCGUAUUGAGAGUACCCGAAGAACAAGCAUAGGCCAACUUCGUGCCAGCAGCCGAGGUAAUACGGUGGAUGCGAGCGUUAUCCGGAUUUAUUGGGGUUAAAGGGUGCGCAGGCGGCGUAUCAAGCAAGCGGUAAAAUGGCGGGGCUCAACCCCGUCGAGCCGUGUGAACUGGCGCGCUUGAGUGCGGGCGAGGUAAGCGGAAUUCGUGGUGUAGCGGUGAAAUGCAUAGAUAUCACGAAGAACUCCGAUUGCGAAGGCAGCUUACCGGUCUGCAACUGACGCUCAGGCACGAAAGUGUGGGUAUCGAACAGGAUUAGAUACCCUAGUAGUC